UCGUGUCGUGAGAUGGUUGGGUUAAGUCCCGUAACGAGCGCAACCCUUGUCCUUAGUUACCAGCACGUUAUGGUGGGCACUCUAAGGAGACUGCCGGUGACAAACCGGAGGAAGGUGGGGAUGACGUCAAGUCAUCAUGGCCCUUACGGCCUGGGCUACACACGUGCUACAAUGGUCGGUACAAAGGGUUGCCAAGCCGCGAGGUGGAGCUAAUCCCAUAAAACCGAUCGUAGUCCGGAUCGCAGUCUGCAACUCGACUGCGUGAAGUCGGAAUCGCUAGUAAUCGUGAAUCAGAAUGUCACGGUGAAUACGUUCCCGGGCCUU
rnacentral:rRNA from 1 species